AUGAGCUUCUUUCAGGUUGGAGGACAUAAUGUCAUCCGCUACUAAACCCUAUGUACUGUAUGUUGUGUAAUGCAUAUAUAAUUAAUUAAAAACUUUCUAAAAAUAUUCCCAUAGCAAGUUAUCUUAACAGAAAUUAUAUACACCAUACAACACAUAAUUUCGAUAUGGUUUUUAUUCAUUUAUUUAUUUAUUUAUUCAUUCAUUCAUUCAUUUUUAUAUUUUUUUUAAAGCAAAAUCUGCAGAAAGAGCCACACCUGAAUACCAUAAUGAUUUCUCCAGCACUAAAGGCCCAACAGGUGAGUGACUUCAGCUGAUGGGUUUCACUUCUUUAACCUUUUGUGCCUGUGAACGGUAAAUCUGUUUCUGUUUAUAGACCUUAGUCAAGGUAGAUAGCAUAUUGUAUGCGGAUGAAAAUGAGGAUGUGAGGGACAGACUUACAGUCUUAACAGUGGCAUGCACUGUACAAAGGUCCUAGAUCACAUCAUUUUCAAAAAGUUUUUGAUUACUGAAAGUUUUUUGGAAAGAUGUGUUUCCAGUUGAACAAUUAGUAUGUUGAUCAACAAUAGUACAAUUAAUUGCACACCCUGUACUUCUAUCCCAUCUUUCCCUUCUGCUCUGACUAAAGUCUGUUCUCUCUGUUUUUAACUCAUUUAGAAAAGCAACAAAUCACACCAGAGAACUAUGAUGAUGUAAUCACUGUUGGACUGAGACAUGCUACAGUUGAAUCACCAGAAAACUAUGAUGAUGUCGUCAUCAUACAACAGUUCUCCAAUGAUAAAGCAGACUAUGAUGAUGUGGAGGAGGAUCCAGGAAAACAGGCAGGAGCUGUAUAACUCAAACCUCACACACUGCCUCAAAUCCUUUUAAAGCUUUUAAAGUUUUAGCAAUCUUACUGUAUAAGUUUCAGUUGCAGGCUAACAGUGUUUUGUUACAUUCUGUA
ensembl:lncRNA